AAUAUGAUAGUAUAAAUUAUUACAUCUUGUUUACACCAAGAAAAUCGUGUGAUCACGUCUUAUUU
rnacentral:tRNA from 1 species